ensembl:lncRNA HERC2P3 HERC2 pseudogene 3
CCUGGGAGGAAGCUGGAGAAAAGAUGCCCUCUGAAUCUUUGUGUUUGGCUGCCCAGGCUCGCCUCGACUCCAAAUGGUUGAAAACAGAUAUACAGAACUGUUUCAUCACCAGAAAGAUCUCUCUCCUGCCUCUCUUCUGCCACCAUCUCUAACUCCUGCCAACCACUGAUCUGUUCUCCAUCUCUAUAAUUUUGUUACUGUGAGAUUACCAAGUGAUAUGUGACCUUCGGAAAUGAUUUUCUUUACUCAGCAUAAUGCCCUCAGCUUUUGUCUGGUCCUCUGAGCCCCAGUGAGAGUUUCCUGAGGUACCUCACCCUUCCACAAGACAACAGGCUUGCCAUUGAUCUGCAACAAACGGCGGUUGUUGUCAUGGCCCAUUUAGACCGUCUGGCUACACCCUGUAGAUGCCUCCUCUGUGUAGCUCUCCGACGUCUCAUAAGAGUCAUUUUUUACAGGUCAGAACUGUAGAAAUAAUGAGAAAGUGACACUUGUACGCAUAGCUGAUUUGGAGAACCAUAAUAACGAUGGAGGCUUCUGGACUGUGAUUGACGGGAAAGUGUAUGAUAUAAAGGACUUCCAGACACAGUCGUUAACAGAAAAUAGUAUUCUUGCUCAGUUUGCAGGGGAAGACCCAGUGGUAGCUUUGGAAGCUGCUUUGCAGUUUGAAGACACCCGGGAAUCCAUGCACGCAUUUUGUGUUGGCCAGUAUUUGGAGCCUGACCAAGAAGGCGUCACCAUACCAGAUCUGGGGAGUCUCUCCUCACCUCUGAUAGACACAGAGAGGAAUCUGGGCCUGCUUCUCGGAUUACACGCUUCCUAUUUAGCAAUGAGCACACCGCUGUCUCCUGUCGAGAUUGAAUGUGCCAAAUGGCUUCAGUCAUCCAUCUUCUCUGGAGGCCUGCAGACCAGCCAGAUCCACUACAGCUACAACGAGGAGAAAGACGAGGACCACUGCAGCUCCCCAGGGGGCACACCUGCCAGCAAAUCUCGACUCUGCUCCCACAGACGGGCCCUGGGGGACCAUUCCCAGGCAUUUCUGCAAGCCAUUGCAGACAACAACAUUCAGGAUCACAACGUGAAGGACUUUUUGUGUCAAAUAGAAAGGUACUGUAGGCAGUGCCAUUUGACCACACCGAUCAUGUUUCCCCCCGAGCAUCCCGUGGAAGAGGUCGGUCGCUUGCUGUUAUGUUGCCUCUUAAAACAUGAAGAUUUAGGUCAUGUGGCAUUAUCUUUAGUUCAUGCAGGUGCACUUGGUAUUGAGCAAGUAAAGCACAGAACGUUGCCUAAGUCAGUGGUGGAUGUUUGUAGAGUUGUCUACCAAGCAAAAUGUUCGCUCAUUAAGACUCAUCAAGAACAGGGCCGUUCUUACAAGGAGGUCUGCGCUCCUGUCAUCGAACGUUUGAGAUUCCUCUUUAAUGAAUUGAGACCUGCUGUUUGUAAUGACCUCUCUAUAAUGUCUAAGUUUAAAUUGUUAAGUUCUUUGCCCCAUUGGAGGAGGAUAGCUCAGAAGAUAAUUCGAGAACCAAGGAAAAAGAGAGUUCCUAAGAAGCCAGAAUCUACGGAUGAUGAAGAAAAAAUUGGAAACGAAGAGAGUGAUUUAGAAGAAGCUUGCAUUUUGCCUCAUAGUCCAAUAAAUGUGGACAAGAGACCCAUUGCAAUUAAAUCACCCAAGGACAAAUGGCAGCCGCUGUUGAGUACUGUUACAGGUGUUCACAAAUACAAGUGGUUGAAGCAGAAUGUGCAGGGUCUUUAUCCGCAGUCUCCACUCCUCAGUACAAUUGCUGAAUUUGCCCUUAAAGAAGAGCCAGUGGAUGUGGAAAAGAGAAAGUGCCUACUAAAACAGUUGGAGAGAGCAGAGGUUCGCCUGGAAGGGAUAGAUACAAUUUUAAAAUUGUAUCUGGGAACCUCUUACUGAUUGUUUAAAGGAUGUUGAUUUGAUCCCGCCUUUUAAUCGGAUGCUGCUGGAAGUCACCUUUGGCAAGCUGUACGCUUGGGCUGUUCAGAACAUUCGAAAUGUUUUGGUGGAUGCCAGUGCCAAAUUUAAAGAGCUUGAAAUGUCAGUGGGUGCCAAUGCUCACUAGGUAUCCAGCCGGUUCCCCUGCAAACCAUCACCAAUGAGAACCCAUCGGGACCGAGCUUGGGGACCAUCCCGCAAGCCCACUUCCUCCUGGUGAUGCUCAGCAUGCUCACCCUGCAGCACAGCGCAAACAACCUUGACCUCCUGCUCAAUUCCGGCACGCUGGCCCUCGCUCAGACGGCACUGCGCCUGAUUGGCCCCAGUUGUGACAGCGUUGAGGAAGAUAUGAAUGCUUCUGCUCAAGGUGCUUCUGCCACAGUUUUGGAAGAAACAAGGAAGGAAACGGCUCCUGUGCAGCUCCCUGUUUCAGGGCCAGAACUGGCUGCCAUGAUGAAGAUUGGAACAAGGGUCAUGAGAGGUGUGGACUGGAAAUGGGGCGAUCAGGAUAGGCCUCCUCCAGGCCUAGGCCGAGUGAUUGGUGAGCUGGGAGAGGACGGGUGGAUAAGAGUCCAGUGGGACACAGGCAGCACCAACUCCUACAGGAUGGGGAAAGAAGGAAAUUACGACCUCAAGCUGGCAGAGCUGCCAGCCCCUGCACAGCCCUCAGCAGAGGAUUCGGACACAGAGGACGACUCUGAAGCCGAACAAACUGAAAGGAACAUUCACCCCACUGCAAUGAUGUUUACCAGCACUAUUAACUUACUGCAGACUCUUUGUCUGUCUGCUGGAGUUCAUGCUGAGAUCAUGCAGAGUGAAGCCACCAAGACUUUAUGCGGACUGCUGCAAAUGUUAGUGGAAAGCGGAAUGACGGACAAGACAUGCUGGUGUACAGGGAGCAACACCGGAGCUGGUGCACGCUGGGGUUUGUGCAGAGCAUCGCUCUCACGCUGCAGGUGUGCGGCACCCUCAGCUCCCUGCAGUGGAUCACGCUGCUCAUGAAGGUCGUGGAAGGGCACGCACCCUUCACUGCCACCUCGCUGCAGAGGCAGAUCUUAGCUGUGCAUUUGUUGCAAGCAGUCCUUCCGUCAUGGGACAAGACCGAAAGGGCGAGGGACAUGAAAUGCCUCAUGGAGAAGCUGUUUGACUUCUUGGGGAGCUUGCUCACUAUGUGCUCCUCUGACGUGCCGUUACUCAGAGAGUCCACGCUGAGGCGGCGCAGGGUGUGCCCGCAGGCCUCGCUGACUGCCACCCACAGCAGCACACUGGCGGAGGAGGUGGUGGCACUGCUGCACACGCUGCACUCCCUGACUCAGUGGAAUGGGCUCAUCAACAAGUACAUCAACUCCCAGCUCCGCUCCAUCACCCACAGCUUUGCGGGAAGGCCUUCCAAAGGGGCCCAGUUAGAGGACUACUUCCCUGAUUCCGAGAACCCUGAAGUGGGGGGCCUCAUGGCGGUCCUGGCUGUGGUUGGAGGCAUCGAUGGUCGCCUGUGCCUGGGCGGCCAAGUUGUGCACGAUGACUUUGGAGAAGUCACCAUGACUCGCAUCACCCUGAAGGGCAAAAUCACCGUGCAGUUCUCUGACAUGCGGACGUGUCACGUUUGCCCAUUGAAUCAGCUGAAACCACUCCCUGCCGUGGCCUUUAAUGUGAACAACCUGCCCUUCACAGAGCCCAUGCUGUCUGUCUGGGCUCAGUUGGUGAACCUCGCUGGAAGCAAGUUAGAAAAGCACAAAAUAAAGAAAUCGACUAAACAGGCCUUUGCAGGACAAGUGGACCUGGACCUGCUGCGGUGCCAGCAGUUGAAGCUAUACAUCCUGAAAGCAGGUCGGGCGCUGUUCUCCCACCAGGAUAAACUGCGGCAGAUCCUGUCUCAGCCAGCUGUUCAGGAGACUGGAACUGUUCACACAGAUGAUGGAGCAGUGGUAUCACCUGACCUUGGGGACAUGUCUCCUGAAGGGCCGCAGCCCCCCAUGAUCCUCUUGCAGCAGCUGCUGGCCUCGGCCACCCAGCCGUCUCCUGUGAAGGCCAUAUUUGAUAAACAGGAACUUGAGGAAAGAAUGUCCAGAUGUUGUUUUUGGAGAAGAAGAACUACAAAGUUAGAGCAAAUACUCUUAUUUAUAAGAAGAAUGAACUCAGUGUGUGAGAAGGAGAAUACAAAUGCAACAGCCUCAAAUUAGCAGUGGAUGCCUACUGGGCUUCUGCAA